rnacentral:rRNA from 1 species
GGUUUUCAGAGAUUUAUUGAAAAUCAGGCCUGCUCAGUGCGAAAGUAAACAGCCGCGGUAUCAUGACCGUGCUAAGGUAGCAUAAUCAUUAGUCUUUUAAUUUUAGACUGGUAUGAAGGGUUAGACUAAGUAAUUUUGUCUUGUAAUAAUAUUUCGAAUUUUAUGUUUUAGUAAAAAAGCUAAAAUUUCUUUUAGGGACGAGAAGACCCUGUCAAGCUUUACAAAUCAGGUCAUUAUUCUUAAGAUGAUUAAAAUUUGUUUUACUGGGGCAGUAGAUAAUAAAAUUUUAUUUAUAUAUUGUGAGGAUAAAUUUUGUUAAAUCAGGAAAUUCCUAAAGAAAAAUAAGUUACUGCAGGGAUAACAGCGUAAUUCUUUUUGAGAGUUCUUAUCGUCAUUAGAGUUUGCGACCUCGAUGUUGGAUUAAAAUUCCUGGUUCACGCAAUAGUGAAAAAAGGAAGUCUGUUCGACUUUUAAAAUUUUCCA